rnacentral:rRNA from 1 species
CAGUAGCCACGGUAACACGGAGGGGGCUAGCGUUGUUCGGAAUUACUGGGCGUAAAGCGCACGUAGGCGGCUUUGUAAGUUAGAGGUGAAAGCCUGGGGCUCAACUCUGGAACUGCCUUUGAUACUGGGUAUCUUGAGUAUGGAAGAGGUGAGUGGAAUUCCGAGUGUAGAGGUGAAAUUCGUAGAUAUUCGGAGGAACACCAGUGGCGAAGGCGGCUCACUGGUCCAUUACUGACGCUGAGGUGCGAAAGCGUGGGGAGCAAACAGGAUUAGAUACCCCUGUAGUCCCUGUCUCUUAUAC